rnacentral:tRNA from 1 species
GCCCCCGUAGCUCAGAGGAUAGAGCAUCGGACUUCUAAUCCGCAGGUCGCACGUUCGAAUCGUGUCGGGGGCG